rnacentral:rRNA from 1 species
AGUGUGGUAACACAUGGAGCUGACUGAUACUAAUCGGUCGAGGGCUUGACCAAU